rnacentral:rRNA from 1 species
AGCAGUCGCCGCGGGAAUACGUAGGUGGCGAGCGUUGUCCGGAUUUAUUGGGCGUAAAGGGAGUGUAGGCGGUCUUUUAAGUCUGAUGUGAAAGCCCACGGCUCAACCGUGGGGGGUCAUUGGAAACUGGGAGACUUGAGUGCAGAAGAGGAGAGCGGAAUUCCAUGUGUAGCGGUGAAAUGCGUAGAUAUAUGGAGGAACACCAGUGGCGAAGGCGGCUCUCUGGUCUGUAACUGACGCUGAGGCUCGAAAGCGUGGGGAGCAAACAGGAUUAGAUACCCCCGUAGUCCCUGUCUCUUAUAC